rnacentral:rRNA from 1 species
UAGGGAAUCUUCGGCAAUGGACGAAAGUCUGACCGAGCAACGCCGCGUGAGUGAAGAAGGUUUUCGGAUCGUAAAGCUCUGUUGUAAGAGAAGAACGGGUGUGAGAGUGGAAAGUUCACACUGUGACGGUAUCUUACCAGAAAGGGACGGCUAACUACGUGCCAGCAGCCGCGGUAAUACGUAGGUCCCGAGCGUUGUCCGGAUUUAUUGGGCGUAAAGCGAGCGCAGGCGGUUAGAUAAGUCUGAAGUUAAAGGCUGUGGCUUAACCAUAGUACGCUUUGGAAACUGUUUAACUUGAGUGCAGAAGGGGAGAGUGGAAUUCCAUGUGUAGCGGUGAAAUGCGUAGAUAUAUGGAGGAACACCGGUGGCGAAAGCGGCUCUCUGGUCUGUAACUGACGCUGAGGCUCGAAAGCGUGGGGAGCGAACAGGAUUAGAUACCCUGGUAGUCCACGCCGUAACGAUGAGUGCUAGGUGUUAGGCCCUUUCCGGGGCUUAGUGCCGCAGCUAACGCAUUAAGCACUCCGCCUGGGGAGUACGACCGCAAGGUUG